UGGGUCUUUGCGGGCAAGGUGAGUCCUCAGUUAAUUCAACUGGCCUACAAAGUCCCAGU
rnacentral:pre_miRNA from 1 species